UUUGAUCCUGGCUCAGGAUGAACGCUGGCGGCGUGCUUAACACAUGCAAGUCGAACGGUGAAGCUGGAGCUUGCUCCAGUGGAUCAGUGGCGAACGGGUGAGUAACACGUGAGUAACCUGCCCUUGACUCUGGGAUAAGCGUUGGAAACGACGUCUAAUACCGGAUACGAGCUUCAGUCGCAUGACUAGGAGCUGGAAAGAAUUUCGGUCAAGGAUGGACUCGCGGCCUAUCAGCUAGUUGGUGAGGUAACGGCCCACCAAGGCGACGACGGGUAGCCGGCCUGAGAGGGUGACCGGCCACACUGGGACUGAGACACGGCCCAGACUCCUACGGGAGGCAGCAGUGGGGAAUAUUGCACAAUGGGCGCAAGCCUGAUGCAGCAACGCCGCGUGAGGGACGACGGCCUUCGGGUUGUAAACCUCUUUUAUUAGGGAAGAAGCGAAAGUGACGGUACCUGCAUAAAAAGCGCCGGCUUAAUUACGUGCCAGCAGCCGCGGUAAUACGUAGGGCGCGAGCGUUAUCCGGAAUUAUUGGGCGUAAAAACCUCGUA
rnacentral:rRNA from 1 species